rnacentral:rRNA from 1 species
AAUAUUGUAGGAGAUCUUCUAGAAAGAUGACACUGACACUGAGGUGCGAAAGCGUGGGUAGCAAACAGGAUUAGAUACCCUGGUAGUCCACGCCGUAAACGAUGUCGACCAGCCGUUGGGUGCCUAGCGCACUUUGUGGCGAAGUUAACGCGAUAAGUCGACCGCCUGGGGAGUACGGCCGCAAGGUUAAGACUCAAAUGAAUUGACGGGGGCCCGCACAAGCGGUGGAGCAUGUGAUUUAAUUCGAUGCAACGCGAAGAACCUUACCUACUCUUGACAUCCUGCGAACUUGUGAGAGAUCACUUGGUGCCUUCGGGAGCGCAGAGACAGGUGCUGCAUGGCUGUCGUCAGCUCGUGUUGUGGAAUGUUGGGUUAAGUCCCGUAACGAGCGCAACCCUUGUCCUUAUUUGCCAGCGGGUAAUGCCGGGAACUCUAAGGAGACUGCCGGUGACAAACCGGAGGAAGGUGGGGACGACGUCAAGUCAUCAUGGCCCUUACGAGUAGGGCUACACACGUGCUACAAUGGCCGGUACAAAGGGUUGCGAGCUCGCGAGAGUCAGCUAAUCCCGAAAAGCCGGACUCAGUCCGGAUCGGAGUCUGCAACUCGACUCCGUGAAGUCGGAAUCGCUAGUAAUCGUGAAUCAGAAUGUCACGGUGAAUACGUUCCCGGGCCUUGUACACACCGCCCGU